CUUAGCCGAUCCCCUCGUCGGGGGCAGACGAAAACUCGUCCUGAGAGUGCGCUCGAAACUGCUGCUCAGGUUUCUUUGCAGCGCACUUCAGUGGAUUGAUAUCGCGUUUCAGCAGCUACUCCGCGACACCCGUUGCUGACGGUCAAGCCUACACCGCUUCUCACUGGCGUUUCAGUUGCAAGCACGGCUCAUUGCUCUGGCAGAAGUUGUGGUCUGCAGCUGGUGCGAUCCUACUCUUUCUUGAAGCGCGUUGCUUAUCACUAUUCAUAAGAACUGGUGCUCUUUUUUUUUGCUGGUCGCCUUCUCUUGUUGUGAGCUCCACCUGUGACUCCCUCAUUCCCAGGUAAUGCCUGCUGCGGGUGACGGUGUCUGUGGGUGUCGUAUUCACCGCCAGAAUCGUCAGCGCAGCAGCCCGAUUCAACAUGCGCGUCGCUCCUCCAGCGCAUCGCUGCCAGAGAUGGCUGUCCGCCUUGCGGACGACUUUCGCCCGCGUAGCACGAAGAGUCAGCUGAUAAGACGGGGUGGAGGUCGCUACAACGAGCCCUACGCAGCCAUCGUCGAGCGCGACGAUGCCGUUUCUGUUUUGUGCGUGCAGCUCACACGGCAGCAGGUGCUUGUGCGGCACAUGCCAGAGGAGGAGUGGAAUCGCAUCGUGCGCGAGGGUGAGAAGGUUCAUCCUGGCGUUGAAGGUAAGACCAGUCUGCACAUUGUUGCACCGCCCGAGAUGAGCACACUGCCGGCUGGCGCCGCCGAAGCCGCUGACGAGCCGCACAGCCCUGAGCAACAGGCGUCGCCUAGCACGGCAGCAGCGGAGCCACCCGUUUUCGAUUACUUUAUGGCCCCGGAGAACCGCAUUGAAAAACUAACGAGCACAAGCAAGGCGUCCUUCUUCUCCCAACUCCGCUUACGGGCGCACUAUUCUCGGAAGGAGCUGGAGCGGAUGGCUCGCGAGGAUCGACGCGCGAUGCUCUCGGUGGAGCGGCGCAACAUCUUUCUGCGGCAGUAUCAGCGGGACAUGCAGCAUCGCAUGGCAGGCACACCACUGUAUACGGUGGGGCGCGAGCUGCCAGAGGAGUUUAUUCAGCUUUUCUUUAUGUCCCAGGAUCACCAUGGUACGAUGACCCGGCGUCCGGAGCGAAGCGAUGCCGUCCGCACUCCUCAGGCUCAGCGCAGCUUGCAGAGGAGCGCUGGUGGGCGACAUCUCUUCACCAUUGAUCGCAGCUUCACCUGCUUUGGCGAGCGCCUACCGUUUGCGGGUCAGGCUCCAGUGGACGGCUUCGUUGUCGUCACUGUCGCACCAACGGCGGACGCGUUCACCUCGGCGUGGGGGCUGUGGGAUGAAGUGCACCGCCUCUCCAGUGAUACGGAAGAGAAGCCGUUUGUUCCCUGCAACUACGGCUCCGCCGACUACUUGCCACGCGCGGGUCCUGAUGACCCUCGCGAUCCUGGUGAAUGCUCAGAGGAGGGGGAAGCCGGCACCACGGCGAGUGCUGCCUAGACGGUAUGCAGCUGCCCGAUCGGCAAUCAAGCUCCGCGCUGCCGCUGGCCACGACUGCGACAAUGCCAAGAACGGAGUUAGUGCGUGGCAGGCCAUCUCGUGCGUCCUUCCUGCCCGAGUCCUCACUGCUUUGCACGCCCCCUCGUUCUCUACGCAUUUGCUGCUUGCCUUCCUCUCUCUCUCCCGCCAUUACUCCCCGCUGGUUCUCUCGUCUCUACGUGGCGGUGUCUCCAUCCGCCCACACCUUCUCUGCCAUUGAUUGUGAGCAAUCUUCUACGCACGUGUAACGGGCAUGUACCCGCAUGUGUGGAGCCUGCUGUUUUUUUUUUUCACUGUUUCCUCCCCCCCCCACCACCACCACCAUCACCCUUCUUCGUGUCCCUCUCCGCACGCCCGAGCCGCUUCUUGUUCGCUCGCGUGCUCCGCCUCUCUCUCUCUCGUCCUGUGACAUCCUCGUCUGUUUGAAGGGCGACAAUGGGGUGAAAGAUGCAUGGGGCGGGGCGCAACAGCAGCGGCAAAGACGACAUCACCCCAUUCUAGCUACUAUUCGUUUACACCAGCAGCCCUCUUUUGUGUUUUAGCUGCGUCGUUUUCGACUGCUUUCGUUGCUGAGAUCCUCUACAUCAUCGUGUGCGCGUCUUUCUGCGGUCUGACGUCUCUCUCUCCCCGCCGCGCGUGUGUGGGCGUUACUGAAAAACAACAUGCAGGGAAGCCGUGCGUGUAGAAUAACCCCUUCCACCCUUAUCAAGUCUGUAUACAGGGGUUGUUCGAUGCUGUGAUCUGGAUGGAGAUAGGCGUUUGUAGUGCUUCUAUCCCAUGCUUCCUUCACUUCGUUUUCGCGGUGGCGGGUGUGUGCGUGUGCUUGUGAAUGGCAUGCAGCCGAUGAAACUCAGAACCAUCUGAGUGGUGCACAUAUAUUUGGCUUUCACAAAGCCACCACUCACUGCAGCUUCGCAUUUCCCAGUCGCUGGCAUCACUGUGCAUUCUAUCUCAGCCCAGCACACACUGUAUGGCCACGUCUUUUUCUUUUGGUGGAGACAGCUAUGGCCUCGCGCCGGUCUUGCGACGGCGUCUACACGUACAGUCAACCGCACCUUCAAUGAAUAGAAGGAGCUCAGGAAAAAGCGGGGUGGGAGACGGGACAGAAAACACGGUGGAACGGCAGCGUGCCUCACAUGGGUGAUGCCACUCCCCUCCGUUCCAUGAGAAACCGAUAAAGGGACAGCAAAAGACAAAUAACAGCGAAGCCGCGGUCACGUGUCGUGUGUCUUCUUUGUUUGUGUGCUGCUCCAAAACGAGAGUAGCGACGCAUCACCACCAUCGCCAUCACCACCCUCUCCCCUCCCUCCCCUUAUGUUCGUGGGUAUGAUCAUGGCUUCGUUCGAUGGCAGCGCGGUGGAGGGCGAAAUGGGGCAAAACAAAUCACAACAAUCACAACGAAUACAUAUAUAUAUAUAUAUAUAUAGAAGAAGAGUGUUUGUGCAGGGAACGUGUGGCAUGUGUGUGCCGGCCGCUCGAGGCAAGCGUUUUGCAGAUUUUGUUUUUUUUAUUUUGUUUUCUCUGCUUUGACAUCUACCCUUGACAGGAACAGCACCGUCGCGUUUUUUCGUCAACGCUGAAAAGCUGCCUGGCCCCCACCAUCACCACCACCCUCUUAUACACGGCAGUGCUGCUGAUGGUCCUCCUCUACACGUAGAGAGGCAAGAUCCAAGCUCCCUCGGCGACUCCUCUUGAGCAAGGUGUACCUUUUUCGGUAUGCAUGUGUGUUGUGUGUUGUGUGUGUGUGUGUUGCCACCAUCAUUGGCAAAGGACAGAUUUGCUCCCUCAACGCAUACAUGGCUAAAAAAAUGUCGGCACGGGCACAAGCAACAGCAGAAGCG
rnacentral:misc_RNA from 1 species